UUGAGUUAGACAAGGCUGUGGUCCA
rnacentral:ncRNA from 2 species